rnacentral:rRNA from 1 species
ACGUAGGGUGCGAGCGUUAAUCGGAAUUACUGGGCGUAAAGCGUGCGCAGGCGGUUCGCUAAGACCGAUGUGAAAUCCCCGGGCUUAACCUGGGAACUGCAUUGGUGACUGGCGGGCUAGAGUAUGGCAGAGGGGGGUAGAAUUCCACGUGUAGCAGUGAAAUGCGUAGAGAUGUGGAGGAAUACCGAUGGCGAAGGCAGCCCCCUGGGCCAAUACUGACGCUCAUGCACGAAAGCGUGGGGAGCAAACAGGA